GACGAACGCUGGCGGCGUGCUUAACACAUGCAAGUCGAACGGAAAGGCCCUGCUUUUGUGGGGUGCUCGAGUGGCAAACGGGUGAGUAACACGUGAGUAACCUGCCCUUGACUUUGGGAUAACUUCAGGAAACUGGGGCUAAUACCGGAUAGGAGCUCCUGCUGCAUGGUGGGAGUUGGAAAGUUUCGGCGGUUGGGGAUGGACUCGCGGCUUAUCAGCUUGUUGGUGGGGUAGUGGCUUACCAAGGCUUUGACGGGUAGCCGGCCUGAGAGGGUGACCGGCCACAUUGGGACUGAGAUACGGCCCAGACUCCUACGGGAGGCAGCAGUGGGGAAUAUUGCACAAUGGGCGGAAGCCUGAUGCAGCAACGCCGCGUGCGGGAUGACGGCCUUCGGGUUGUAAACCGCUUUCGCCUGUGACGAAGCGUGAGUGACGGUAAUGGGUAAAGAAGCACCGGCUAACUACGUG
rnacentral:rRNA from 1 species